UAAGGAAUAUUGCGCAAUGGGCGAAAGCCUGACGCAGCGACGCCGCGUGGGGGAUGAAGUAUUUCGGUAUGUAAACUUCGAAAGAAUAGGAAGAAUAAAUGACGGUACUAUUUAUAAGGUCCGGCUAACUACGUGCCAGCAGCCGCGGUAAUACGUAGGGACCAAGCGUUGUUCGGAUUUACUGGGCGUAAAGGGCGCGUAGGCGGCAUGACAAGUCACUUGUGAAAUCUCUGGGCUUAACCCAGAACGGCCAAGUGAUACUGUCGCGCUAGAGUGCAGAAGGGGCAAUCGGAAUUCUUGGUGUAGCGGUGAAAUGCGUAGAUAUCAAGAGGAACACCUGAGGUGAAGACGGGUUGCUGGGCUGACACUGACGCUGAGGCGCGAAAGCCAGGGGAGCAAACGGGAUUAGAUACCCCCGUAGUCCCUGAGCGGGCUGGCAAGGCGCAU
rnacentral:rRNA from 1 species